AUGGGAAAGGGUGGAGAGCUCCUUCCAAGUUGGUAUAAAAUCCUUUUAUGGAUGGUUUCCUCUUGGGAUGGGGGGUUGUCCCUGCCUACCUGCCUUCCAACCAUCCUUCAUCAAAUACCUUUAGAAAUAAGUGAAGGCCCUGAAUUUCAGCUGGAACAUGUCUGCCCAGAAUGGAGCCUUCAUUUCAGCUUCCAUUGCAGAUUACUUUGUGACCCUCUAUUUCAAUACAUCAUUGAUAAUUGCACUGAAUUGGAGCUAAUGGGAGACAGAGAAGCUGAAAGUGUGGUGUUCGAAGUUAGAGGUGGGUAAACACAGCCCUUUCACUUGAAGUAGUUGAUGGAGCUUUGGAAGUACAGUCUUCAAACCUGACUGCCAAGUGAUCCACUCUCAACAUAUCCCUCGGUUUAUCUUCAGCUCUUCAGGCACUAGGCAGUAUUUACGGGCAAAUCAAAACAAAAUGAGUGUCCUUGAUUUUUCAAGUAUGGAUACAUUUAGAUGAUUCUUUGAAAUUUGUUCUUAUCGGUUUGUAUUGAUAAAACUUUUUAAGAGAAAAAGCAACUUGAGUAAAGAUUUUGAUAUCAGUCUUUUUCUGAGUGAAGCAUUUAUGUCAAUCUAAGGGGAAGAAAGUGUUCGGAGGCUCGUCUUAAAAGGCUAGAUAGGAACCCAGUGCCAUUUGGUGCUAGGCCCCACUGACAGAUUUACUGCCUGCUUGGAGCUGCGGCUGCAGUGUGAUGGGAGUGGCAGGUGAGGGCCGCAAAGAAGAGGAUUCCCAUGCUCCGUGUAUAUGUGUAACUGGCGCAUCCAGGGUCAUGGAGGGGCAGGCCUGUGUUUACAGUCAGGAUUUGUGGUGAAAAAAAAAGUUAUUUUUCUCUUAUUCCUUAUAGCAAAGAACUCUCCACAUUUCUUGGCUAGGAGACAUUUCCAAAUGACCAAACCAAAAGACAAGCAUGAGGCUUUAGAAAUGGGGAAAUGAUUCUUCCUUAGGCAAGUUCUAUAGUGUGGAAAAAAGUCACAAAUGCCCCCAAAUUAAACUAAUCUUCCCCCUCCCCCUGUUAAAUAAAAGACAUUUGAUGUAAAUUAAUGGCAGUUAGGGCAUGGAUAUGAUGUCUCCUGUAAGUAGCAGGCUGUGCAGAAUUUUGAACUUAGUUCAUAAUGAAUUAAACAUCAGUCUAAAAACUAUCCUAGGUAAUUGCUAGAGACCUACUACGGAAGUGCAGUAAUGCUACCUGAAUGUAAUAUGAAUGGUAAAUGCAUCUAGUUCAGACAGAAAAAGGACUAUUUCAGUAAGUGGAAUUAUAGAUUCAAAGUAUUUUACAGACAGAGGAUUGUGUGUAAGUGUGGAUAGGCUGAAAUUGGAGCUAACGUGCCAGUGCAAAGAGAAUUCUCCCCAAACGGUGUUGGAAAGCACUUUUUUCAGUCUGUGUUAGCACUUUUUGUGUGUGUGUGUGUGAGAGAGAGAGACAGAGAGAGGGAGAGAGAAGAGAGCGUGUGUGCAAGCCAGCAGGGGGAGGGGCAGGGGGAGAGAGAGAAUCUUAAGUAGGCUCUAUGCUCAGUGUGGAGCCAGACUUGGGGCUCUAUCUCAUGACCCUGAAAUCAUGACCUAAAGAUCAAAAUCAAGUCAAACACUUAACUGAGUAAACCACCCGAGCACUCCAGUAUGCGUUAACAUUCUAAGAUGCUCUAUACACUAUUUACUUUCUGAAAAAAAGAAUAAUUUGACCCAAUUAAUUAGGGAACAUCUUUACCCCCCACCCACUAUUUAAACAUAUCUUCAAUAUUUAGAGUUGGUAAUUUGGUAACUAAGUUGAUAACUAAUCAACUGGAAGUUAAAAAUACCUUCAAUACUUUAAAUUGGUAGCUAAUUAGGGAACAAAUUGUUCGAAAUAAUUGUGUAGUCAAAUUUGCUGGUAACUAUUCUGUUACAGAUACCAAAUGUCUUAAUCCUAGUUUCUUUUUUUUUUAAACAAAUUUAUUUAUUUAUUCAUGAGAGACACAAAGAGAGGCAGACACAGGCAAAGGGAGAAGCAGGCGCCGUGCGAGGAGCCUGAUGUGGGACUCAAUCCUAGGACCCCGGGAUCACGACCUGAGCCAAAGGCAGAUGCUCAACCACUGAGCCACCCAGGUAUCUUAAUCCUAAUUUCUUUAUUUUAAUUAUCAGUUGCUAGAUUACCUGAUCCUGUCAGGCAUCCACCAGAUCUCAUUUCUUUCUGAAUCCUUAGUACCCAGCCUGGAACUUGUCUCAUAGAUGCUUAGUGAGUGCGUAUUAAAUCUGUGUUUAAAAGGAAACUUCUUGGGCACUUGUGCCACUGCAUUUGUUCUUUCGAAUCCUGAACACCUAAAGCGAUUUUCACUUUGUGGUGCACUUAAAAUGUUUAUGUUUGCUUUGAUGUGCCUGGAGAAGCAGUAGUACUGAUUUUGCUUGCUGAUAGGUGGAUGUGUUUGUGGCAGGGUGCAUUUUGAAAUCAUUUGAUAAUAAUAAGGAACUGCUGCUAGGAAUGGGAGUAUGCAGAGCAGCUGAGUUAAGUUUUAAUGAACUUUUAUAUUUAACACUUGGAGUGUAUAUCUUGGUGUGGUAGGCAGGGAUAUUACAAGUUAAUGAGUUAUGAAGAAAUUCCUGGAUGCAGAAGAAAAAGACCUAGACCAAUAACUUAGGGAAACUCAAUUGAGCUAUCUCUCGCUUAGGGUCUGUAAUAAAAAAACAAAACAAACAAACAAAAAAAACAACUAACUUGGC
rnacentral:lncRNA from 1 species